rnacentral:lncRNA from 1 species
AUAAAUAGAACUACAGUCAUGCCUCACAAGGGGGACAUGCUCUGAGUAAUGUGGCGUUAGCCAAUUUUGUUGUUGUGUGGACAUGACAGUGUACCUGGACUAACCUAGGUUGUCCACCCUACUGCACACUGGGGCUAUGUGGUAGGGCCUGUUGCUCCUGGGCUACGCACCUGUGCAGCGUGUGACUGUACUGCAUGCUGCAGGCAAUGGAAACAUGACGGUAGGUGUCUGUGUAUCUAAGCCUCUCUAAAUGUAGAAAAGGUGCACCAAAAAUACAGCAUUAUAAUCUUACGGGACCACCCUUGUAAUCCAGUCUGUUGCCGACCUAGAGGUCUAGGUGACACAUGACUGCACACCCACCCAAGUUAAAUAAAAUAUCCUUCUCUCAAGAGCACACAGAACCUUUACAAAACUUGACCACAUUUCAAAUCACAAAGUAAGUCUCAAAACUACCGAAAAAACAUCAAUAUCACUCAGAUCAUGUUCUCUGACUGCAAUUUGAUAAAAAUUCAUUUCUAAAUGAUUUGUGGUUAAAAGGAGAUAAGAAAAUGGAAAAGAGAACAGACUUGAAACCAAAAAUUAAUGAAAAUGCUACUUAUCAAAAUGCGUGUGAUGCCGUCAAGGCAGUACUUAAAAUAAAAUUUAUACCUUCAAAACGACUACGUUUGACAAGGGAGAGAGAUGAUAAAAAUUAAUGACUGAAACGUCCUACUCAAAAAAAAUUAGAAAAAGAACAAGAUAAAGCUCAAGAAAGUAGAAAGGAAAAAUAAUUUAAAUAAAUAAGUAGACAUGAGUAGAACACGGGUCUUGGGCAUGAGUUAGGGCAGGCACAGAAGCCAACGGUGAAAGUUUCCGGGGCGGAGGUCCUCAGACCCAGGGGUUUAUUCCAUCACCUCUGCCCUUUCAUCAGGAAGAGUGUCUCAGAAUAGGAAAGCCUUUUAGGUUUUAUGAAGGGGAACUUCCCAUUGUUUGACAAAGGCCAUGACUCUAAACUGGUGGAGAGACUGAGUUCUGCUCGCCCUACAAAACCUUACUCUGAUGUGUUGAAUUUUGUCUCCAAAAAAUGGUAUGUAAUGGAAUACUAAAAAAUACUUGACUCAGCCAAAAUAAAGCAGGAAAGAAAAGAAAAAGAAUCAAAGUGUGUGGGAGAAUGGAGAAAACAAGUAGCAAAGUGGUACACUUAAUCCCAAACAUAUCUACAAUUACAUUAAAUGUAAAUGGAUCAAACACACCAAUUAUAAAUCACAGUUUCUCAGGCUAGAUUAAAAAUGAAAGACUCAACUACAUCCUGUCUAUGAGAGGGACGUUUUAAAUGGAAAGACACAGAUAAGGUGAAAGUAAAGGAUUAAAAAAGAUAUGACAUGCAAGCAAGAAGCAAAAGAAACUUGGGUGGCUAUAUCAGACAUAGUAAAGUUCCAGGAAAAGUGUUAUACAGGUGAAGAGGGCCAUUUCAUAGUGACAAUUGAAAAAAUCCAUCAAGAAGUUGAAAAACACAAACUAAAACUUAAUGUAUAUAAUAUCUAAUGAAGGAACUUCCAAAAUACAUGAAGCAAAAAUUGACAGAACU